rnacentral:rRNA from 1 species
UACGUAGGGUGCAAGCGUUGUCCGGAUUUAUUGGGCGUAAAGAGCUCGUAGGCGGUUUGUCGCGUCGGAUGUGAAAACCCAGGGCUCAACCCUGGGCCUGCAUUCGAUACGGGCAAACUAGAGUAUGGCAGGGGAGACUGGAAUUCCUGGUGUAGCGGUGAAAUGCGCAGAUAUCAGGAAGAACACCCGUGGCUAAGGCGGCUCUCUGGGACGGUACUGACGCUGAGACGCGAAAGCGUGGGGAGCGAACAGG